AACGAACGCUGGCGGCAUGCCUAACACAUGCAAGUCGAACGAACUCUUCGGAGUUAGUGGCGCACGGGUGCGUAACGCGUGGGAAUCUGCCCCUUGGUUCGGAAUAACAGCGAGAAAUUGCUGCUAAUACCGGAUGAUGACUUCGGUCCAAAGAUUUAUCGCCAAGGGAUGAGCCCGCGUAAGAUUAGGUAGUUGGUGGGGUAAUGGCCUACCAAGCCGACGAUCUUUAGCUGGUCUGAGAGGAUGAUCAGCCACACUGGGACUGAGACACGGCCCAGACUCCUACGGGAGGCAGCAGUGGGGAAUAUUGGACAAUGGGCGAAAGCCUGAUCCAGCAAUGCCGCGUGAGUGAUGAAGGCCUUAGGGUUGUAAAGCUCUUUUACCAGGGAUGAUAAUGACAGUACCUGGAGAAUAAGCUCCGGCUAACUCCGUGCCAGCCGCCGCAGUAA
rnacentral:rRNA from 1 species